rnacentral:rRNA from 1 species
AGAGUUUGAUCAUGGCUCAGAUUGAACGCUGGCGGCAGGCCUAACACAUGCAAGUCGAACGGUAACAGGAAGCAGCUUGCUGCUUCGCUGACGAGUGGCGGACGGGUGAGUAAUGUCUGGGAAACUGCCUGAUGGAGGGGGAUAACUACUGGAAACGGUGGCUAAUACCGCAUAACGUCGCAAGACCAAAGAGGGGGACCUUCGGGCCUCUUGCCAUCAGAUGUGCCCAGAUGGGAUUAGCUUGUUGGUGAGGUAACGGCUCACCAAGGCGACGAUCCCUAGCUGGUCUGAGAGGAUGACCAGCCACACUGGAACUGAGACACGGUCCAGACUCCUACGGGAGGCAGCAGUGGGGAAUAUUGCACAAUGGGCGCAAGCCUGAUGCAGCCAUGCCGCGUGUAUGAAGAAGGCCUUCGGGUUGUAAAGUACUUUCAGCAGGGAGGAAGGUGUUGUGGUUAAUAACCGCAGCAAUUGACGUUACCCGCAGAAGAAGCACCGGCUAACUCCGUGCCAGCAGCCGCGGUAAUACGGAGGGUGCAAGCGUUAAUCGGAAUUACUGGGCGUAAAGCGCACGCAGGCGGUCUGUCAAGUCGGAUGUGAAAUCCCCGGGCUCAACCUGGGAACUGCAUUCGAAACUGGCAGGCUUGAGUCUUGUAGAGGGGGGGAGAAUUCCAGGUGUAGCGGUGAAAUGCGUAGAGAUCUGGAGGAAUACCGGUGGCGAAGGCGGCCCCCUGGACAAAGACUGACGCUCAGGUGCGAAAGCGUGGGGAGCAAACAGGAUUAGAUACCCUGGUAGUCCACGCCGUAAACGAUGUCUACUUGGAGGUUGUGCCCUUGAGGCGUGGCUUCCGGAGCUAACGCGUUAAGUAGACCGCCUGGGGAGUACGGCCGCAAGGUUAAAACUCAAAUGAAUUGACGGGGGCCCGCACAAGCGGUGGAGCAUGUGGUUUAAUUCGAUGCAACGCGAAGAACCUUACCUGGUCUUGACAUCCACGGAAGUUUUCAGAGAUGAGAAUGUGCCUUCGGGAACCGUGAGACAGGUGCUGCAUGGCUGUCGUCAGCUCGUGUUGUGAAAUGUUGGGUUAAGUCCCGCAACGAGCGCAACCCUUAUCCUUUGUUGCCAGCGAUUAGGUCGGGAACUCAAAGGAGACUGCCAGUGAUAAACUGGAGGAAGGUAGGGAUGACGUCAAGUCAUCAUGGCCCUUACGACCAGGGCUACACACGUGCUACAAUGGCGCAUACAAAGAGAAGCGACCUCGCGAGAGCAAGCGGACCUCAUAAAGUGCGUCGUAGUCCGGAUUGGAGUCUGCAACUCGACUCCAUGAAGUCGGAAUCGCUAGUAAUCGUGGAUCAGAAUGCCACGGUGAAUACGUUCCCGGGCCUUGUACACACCGCCCGUCACACCAUGGGAGUGGGUUGCAAAAGAAGUAGGUAGCUUAACCUUCGGGAGGGCGCUUACCACUUUGUGAUUCAUGACUGGGGUGAAGUCGUAACAAGGUAACCGUAGGGGAACCUGCGGUUGGAUCACCU